AUUGAACGCUGGCGGCAUGCUUUACACAUGCAAGUCGAACGGCAGCGCGGGGGCAACCCUGGCGGCGAGUGGCGAACGGGUGAGUAAUAUAUCGGAACGUACCCAGAAGUGGGGAUAACGUAGCGAAAGUUACGCUAAUACCGCAUACGAUCUACGGAUGAAAUGGGGGACCUUCGGGCCUCAUGCUUUUGGAGCGGCCGAUAUCUGAUUAGCUAGUUGGUGAGGUAAAGGCUCACCAAGGCGACGAUCAGUAGCUGGUCUGAGAGGACGACCAGCCACACUGGAACUGAGACACGGUCCAGACUCCUACGGGAGGCAGCAGUGGGGAAUUUUGGACAAUGGGGGCAACCCUGAUCCAGCAAUGCCGCGUGAGUGAAGAAGGCCUCGGUUGUAAGACUCUUUG
rnacentral:rRNA from 1 species